CUCUAAGCCUCAGUUUCUUUGUCUGUGAGA
rnacentral:piRNA from 1 species